rnacentral:rRNA from 1 species
CCUACGGGGAGCAGCAGUGGGGAAUAUUGCACAAUGGGGGAAACCCUGAUGCAGCGACGCCGCGUGAGUGAAGAAGUAUUUCGGUAUGUAAAGCUCUAUCAGCAGGGAAGAUAAUGACGGUACCUGAGUAAGAAGCCCCGGCUAACUACGUGCCAGCAGCCGCGGUAAUACGUAGGUGGCAAGCGUUAUCCGGAUUUACUGGGUGUAAAGGGAGCGUAGACGGCAGUGCAAGUCUGGAGUGAAAGGCGGGGGCUCAACCCCCGGACUGCUCUGGAAACUGUACGGCUGGAGUGCAGGAGAGGUAAGUGGAAUUCCUAGUGUAGCGGUGAAAUGCGUAGAUAUUAGGAGGAACACCAGUGGCGAAGGCGGCUUACUGGACUGUAACUGACGUUGAGGCUCGAAAGCGUGGGGAGCAAACAGGAUUAGAUACCCCGGUAGUC